rnacentral:rRNA from 1 species
UUAAGCGACUAAGCGUACACGGUGGAUGCCCUGGCAGUCAGAGGCGAUGAAGGACGUGCUAAUCUGCGAAAAGCGUCGGUAAGGUGAUAUGAACCGUUAUAACCGGCGAUGUCCGAAUGGGGAAACUCAGUGCAAUUCGUUGCACUAUCGUUAACUGAAUACAUAGGUUAACGAGGCGAACCGGGGGAACUGAAACAUCUAAGUACCCCGAGGAAAAGAAAUCAACCAAGAUUCCCCCAGUAGCGGCGAGCGAACGGGGAGCAGCCCAGAGUCUGAAUCAGCUUGUGUGUUAGUGGAACGGUCUGGAAAGUCCGACGGUACAGGGUGAUAGUCCCGUACACCAAAAUGCACAGGUUGUGAACUCGAAGAGUAGGGCGGGACACGUGGUAUCCUGUCUGAAUAUGGGGGGACCAUCCUCCAAGGCUAAAUACUCCUGACUGACCGAUAGUGAACCAGUACCGUGAGGGAAAGGCGAAAAGAACCCCGGCGAGGGGAGUGAAAAAGAACCUGAAACCGUGUACGUACAAGCAGUGGGAGCACCUUCGGGUGUGACUGCGUACCUUUUGUAUAAUGGGUCAGCGACUUAUAUUCUGUAGCAAGGUUAACCGUAUAGGGGAGCCGCAGGGAAACCGAGUCUUAACUGGGCGUUAAGUUGCAGGGUAUAGACCCGAAACCCGGUGAUCUAGCCAUGGGCAGGUUGAAGGUUGGGUAACACUAACUGGAGGACCGAACCGACUAAUGUUGAAAAAUUAGCGGAUGACUUGUGGCUGGGGGUGAAAGGCCAAUCAAACCGGGAGAUAGCUGGUUCUCCCCGAAAGCUAUUUAGGUAGCGCCUCGUGAACUCAUCUUCGGGGGUAGAGCACUGUUUCGGCUAGGGGGUCAUCCCGACUUACCAACCCGAUGCAAACUACGAAUACCGAAGAAUGUUAUCACGGGAGACACACGGCGGGUGCUAACGUCCGUCGUGAAGAGGGAAACAACCCAGACCGCCAGCUAAGGUCCCAAAGUCAUGGUUAAGUGGGAAACGAUGUGGGAAGGCACAGACAGCCAGGAUGUUGGCUUAGAAGCAGCCAUCAUUUAAAGAAAGCGUAAUAGCUCACUGGUCGAGUCGGCCUGCGCGGAAGAUGUAACGGGGCUAAACCAUGCACCGAAGCUGCGGCAGCGACACUAUGUGUUGUUGGGUAGGGGAGCGUUCUGUAAGCCUGCGAAGGUGUGCUGUGAGGCAUGCUGGAGGUAUCAGAAGUGCGAAUGCUGACAUAAGUAACGAUAAAGCGGGUGAAAAGCCCGCUCGCCGGAAGACCAAGGGUUCCUGUCCAACGUUAAUCGGGGCAGGGUGAGUCGACCCCUAAGGCGAGGCCGAAAGGCGUAGUCGAUGGGAAACAGGUUAAUAUUCCUGUACUUGGUGUUACUGCGAAGGGGGGACGGAGAAGGCUAUGUUAGCCGGGCGACGGUUGUCCCGGUUUAAGCAUGUAGGCUGAUUGUCCAGGCAAAUCCGGAUAAUCAAGGCUGAGGUGUGAUGACGAGGCACUACGGUGCUGAAGUAACAAAUGCCCUGCUUCCAGGAAAAGCCUCUAAGCAUCAGGUAACAUCAAAUCGUACCCCAAACCGACACAGGUGGUCAGGUAGAGAAUACCAAGGCGCUUGAGAGAACUCGGGUGAAGGAGCUAGGCAAAAUGGUGCCGUAACUUCGGGAGAAGGCACGCUGGUGUGUAGGUGAAGCCCCUGCGGGUGGAGCUGAGACCAGUCGAAGAUACCAGCUGGCUGCAACUGUUUAUUAAAAACACAGCACUGUGCAAACACGAAAGUGGACGUAUACGGUGUGACGCCUGCCCGGUGCCGGAAGGUUAAUUGAUGGGGUUAUCCGUAAGGAGAAGCUCUUGAUCGAAGCCCCGGUAAACGGCGGCCGUAACUAUAACGGUCCUAAGGUAGCGAAAUUCCUUGUCGGGUAAGUUCCGACCUGCACGAAUGGCGUAAUGAUGGCCAGGCUGUCUCCACCCGAGACUCAGUGAAAUUGAACUCGCUGUGAAGAUGCAGUGUACCCGCGGCAAGACGGAAAGACCCCGUGAACCUUUACUAUAGCUUGACACUGAACAUUGAGCCUUGAUGUGUAGGAUAGGUGGGAGGCUUUGAAGCGUGGACGCCAGUCUGCGUGGAGCCAACCUUGAAAUACCACCCUUUAAUGUUUGAUGUUCUAACGUUGGCCCCUGACCGGGGUUGCGGACAGUGUCUGGUGGGUAGUUUGACUGGGGCGGUCUCCUCCCAAAGCGUAACGGAGGAGCACGAAGGUUAGCUAAUCCUGGUCGGACAUCAGGAGGUUAGUGCAAUGGCAUAAGCUAGCUUGACUGCGAGCGUGACGGCGCGAGCAGGUGCGAAAGCAGGUCAUAGUGAUCCGGUGGUUCUGAAUGGAAGGGCCAUCGCUCAACGGAUAAAAGGUACUCCGGGGAUAACAGGCUGAUACCGCCCAAGAGUUCAUAUCGACGGCGGUGUUUGGCACCUCGAUGUCGGCUCAUCACAUCCUGGGGCUGAAGUAGGUCCCAAGGGUAUGGCUGUUCGCCAUUUAAAGUGGUACGCGAGCUGGGUUUAGAACGUCGUGAGACAGUUCGGUCCCUAUCUGCCGUGGGCGCUGGAGAAUUGAGGGGGGCUGCUCCUAGUACGAGAGGACCGGAGUGGACGCAUCACUGGUGUUCGGGUUGUCAUGCCAAUGGCACUGCCCGGUAGCUAAAUGCGGAAGAGAUAAGUGCUGAAAGCAUCUAAGCACGAAACUUGCCCCGAGAUGAGUUCUCCCUGAGACUUUAAGUCUCCUGAAGGAACGUUGAAGACGACGACGUUGAUAGGCCGGGUGUGUAAGCGCAGCGAUGCGUUGAGCUAACCGGUACUAAUGAACCGUGAGGCUUAACCUU